UUCACCGAGCAGUUUGUUUUCCACUUAUGGAAUCACAAAAAUAUUUAAUCUGCUGCUUUAGUGGCAUCACCAUCCUUCAGACUCCAGACCGCAGGAAUCUUCCUUCUUUAAAUCCCCUGGAGGCACAAAAUUCUCCGAGGUGACCAAUGUCCUCUGAAAAGCCAGCACUCAAAUGGCCUGAAUGCACUGUCUCCUGGGCUUUAGAGACAGAGACAAAAGUCAACUGAACAGACUGAAUGGGCUGAUCUUGACUUUCAGAAACAUUCCACGUGAGUUGGGGAGAAGAACUAAAUUCUCUGCCUCUGUGAGGAGUCAGGACUUAAUCUGAGGCAUUCCAUCAUGGCAACCAAAGCAAUCCAAGUUUAAUCUCCAAGCAUUCAUCUCCCAAGUUCAGAUUUUUCUUCCAUCUUCUCAGCUGGUGCAUUCCCAACUUCUGAAUUUCUAAAAAUACCCAGCGUGGUUCCCUCUACAAAACAGCAGCACCCUGCCAGCUGUUAAAUAA